AUGGAGAACGACGUUGCCCAUAUGCAGGAGCCAACACCCAAGGACUUUUACCGGCGCACAAGCCAUGAAUAUAUGCCUGUGCCACUCCGCAAAGGCUCCGUCAGCUCAGCUGCAGCAGAGCAGUGCAGAGCACAGCAGAGAGGACGCCAUUGCAGCCAGGGCAAGCACAAAGACAGCUCGAAAACUUCGGCGAGAGAUAUAGUUCGGCUAGCUCAAGGUGUCCAUGGAAAGCAAGGCACCCCGUGGGUACUAGAGCUCGUGAGGGGGCGUCGAUCGAGGACUACAAAUAGCCGGCGGCCUCAAGCUCUUACAUCUCAUCGAGCAGAGGAAGAAGCACCUGUGCAAUCUUGA
rnacentral:rRNA from 1 species